AUACAGAGGGUGCAAGCGUUAAUGGGAAUUACUGGGCGUAAAGGGUGCGUAGGUGGUUUCGUAAGUUGAGUGUGAAAUCCCCGGGCUUAACCUGGGAACUGCAUUCAGUACUGCGUAACUAGAGUAUUGUAGAGGAUGGCGGAAUUUCCGGUGUAGCGGUGAAAUGCGUAGAUAUCGGAAGGAACACCAGUGGCGAAGGCGGCCAUCUGGACAAAUACUGACACUGAGGCACGAAAGCGUGGGGAGCAAACAGGAUUAGAAACCCCGGUAGUCC
rnacentral:rRNA from 1 species